GCCGACGUGACGAGAUCUUGAAAUCGUCAGUCUACAACGGCUUCUCAUCGAGAAAGAGAGAGAUGAAGGGAGAGGAGGAGGCAGGGGAAGAGAGGGUUGGGUGCAGGGAGGACAAGAUGGGGCGCUGGGCGACGGUAGUAGGAGAGUAAUCAAAGAUUAUUCCAAGAAUCUAUAAGUCAGUAGAUUGGUUUCAAUGAAC
rnacentral:lncRNA from 1 species